GCCAGGCUGGUGUAGUGUUUUGAGUGUUGGACUAUGACUCUGGAGGCCAGGGUUCGAUUCCCCGCUUGGCC